AAUUGAUGUGAUUUUUCAAAUAUAUACAAACUCCCCCACCAUAUCAGUUUCGGUCUUUCCUAAUCAAUUGAUAAUUAUCAAGUUUAACACGAUUGUCAGUUACAUCUCUAUCUAAGCGUGUUUCAUUCAAAGCUAUUAAGUCGAUAUUUUGUUCUGACAACCAAGUGCGUAAUUCUUCAAAAUGACGAGGAAGACUACCAAUAUUUAAGGAGACCAUUUUAAAACCUCUUACCUGUAGUAUAUGUAAAUUAUCUAGUAUCUCAUCACAGCCUUUUUCGUUUAGUCAAUCUAAAUUAUCUAGGUAAUUCUUAUAGUUUUUUGCAAGGUUUAUUGUGCCACGAUUAUUCAGAUGAACUUUGCGGCCAUUUGAACAGUUAGUAUCAAUAUUAUUAUGAAUAAUUAAUUUCAAACCCUUAGAUUUAGUUAAAGAACUAAGGGUCUCGUUCACACAUACACGCUUCUGUUCAAGUUCAGCCGAAUCUUGGCGUACCGAUUAGUUGGGAAGUAGCAAUAUUUGUUGACGGAGAAUCAUGAUUAACAAUGUUACAGAUUUUCUCAAUUUCCUUUGCGAUUUCGUUUGGAGUAUUCGAUCUGAGAUUGUUUGUCCCAACGUGUAAAAUUAAAUUAUCUGGUUUAUACUUAAGUGAUGGCUUGAUAUAGUGGGACAUGUCUUCGACUUUUGCUCCAGAGAAUGAUUUCACUGUCACACGUCGAGAUUUGUCAGACAUCUUCCAACCUUGUAAUCGUGAUAUCAUAGAAUCACCAACUAUGACGGUAGAAUUUCGAUUCUUAUACUCUGUAUAAUCAGAUGAUUUUCCUUCGAGAAAACUAUUAAAUUCUGCAUCGUUUGGUUUUUGUUCACUCAGGUCAGGGGCGGAUUCAGACAGGUUUGAC